AGAAUGCUACUCGACACACCCUC
rnacentral:siRNA from 1 species